rnacentral:rRNA from 1 species
UAAGAGUUUGAUCCUGGCUCAGAGCGAACGCUGGCGGCAGGCUUAACACAUGCAAGUCGAGCGCCCCGCAAGGGGAGCGACAGACGGGAGAGUAACACGUGGGAACGUACCUUUCAGUUCGGAACAACCAAGGGAAACUUUGGCUAAUACCGAAUACGCCCGUAAGGGGAAAGAUUUAUCGCUGAAAGAUCGGCCCGCGUCUGAUUAGCUAGUUGGUGGGGUAAUGGCCCACCAAGGCGACGAUCAGUAGCUGGUCUGAGAGGACGAUCAGCCACACUGGGACUGAGACGCGGCCCAGACUCCUACGGGAGGCAGCAGUGGGGAAUCUUGCGCAAUGGGCGAAAGCCUGACGCAGCGACGCCGCGUGCGGGAAGAAGGCCUUAGGGUUGUAAACCGCUUUCAGGAGGGACGAAGCCACUCGGGUGAAUAGCCCAGAGGGUGACGGUACCUCCAGAAGAAGCCCCGGCUAACUACGUGCCAGCAGCCCCGGUCA